AGCGAACGCUGGCGGCAGGCCUAACACAUGCAAGUCGAACGAAGUCUUCGGACUUAGUGGCGGACGGGUGAGUAACACGUGGGAACGUGCCUUUAGGUUCGGAAUAACUCAGGGAAACUUGUGCUAAUACCGAAUGUGCCCUUCGGGGGAAAGAUUUAUCGCCUUUAGAGCGGCCCGCGUCUGAUUAGCUAGUUGGUGAGGUAAAGGCUCACCAAGGCUACGAUCAGUAGCUGGUCUGAGAGGAUGACCAGCCACAUUGGGACUGAGACACGGCCCAAACUCCUACGGGAGGCAGCAGUGGGGAACCAUGCGCAAUGGGCGAAAGACUGACGCAGCCAUGCCGCGUGGAUGAUGAAGGUCUUAGGAUUGUAAAAUCCUUUCACCGGUGAAGAUAAUGACUGUAGCCGGAGAAGAAGCCCCGGCUAACUUCGUGCCAGCCGCCGCUGUAAUAC
rnacentral:rRNA from 1 species